rnacentral:lncRNA from 1 species
CAUGUUGGCUACUUUUGAAGGGGUCUAUUGUGUAUGAGAAAAAGAAAUCUUUUCAAUUGAUUUUCAUACCUAAUUUUCUGAUAAGUCUCUCUUUAAGUUAACUUAAAUAAGAGUGAGAAAAGGUUGGAGUCGAAUUGAAAUUUAGAAGAGUUUGAAUUGCAACAAACUCCAGUCCUUAUCCUGUUUUAUUUGGUUUGUGCGACAACCAUAAAAAGGCCACAAUUUUGUGCACCA